rnacentral:rRNA from 1 species
CUAAUACCGCAUGUGAUCCUUCGGGAUUAAAGCCUUCGGGGCGCUAAAGGAGGGGCCUGCGUCUGAUUAGCUUGUUGGUAAGGUAAUGGCUUACCAAGGCGAUGAUCAGUAGCUGGUUCGAGAGGAUGAUCAGCCACACUGGAACUGAGAUACGGUCCAGACUCCUACGGGAGGCAGCAGUAAGGAAUCUUCCGCAAUGGACGAAAGUCUGACGGAGCAACGCCGCGUGCAGGAUGAAGGCUUUCGGGUCGUAAACUGCUUUUGUAUGGGAAGAUUAUGACGGUACCAUACGAAUAAGGACCGGCUAACUACGUG